rnacentral:lncRNA from 1 species
CACUACAACAAAAACGGUAUAUAGCGACACUUUUAAAUGUAGGUACAUGUCAAAAAAGUGCUGCUAGCUAAAAUUACCGACACUUUUAAAAAGUGUUGCUAUAUGUGGGGUCGCUAGGUAUAUAGUGACAGUUAAAGAGUGUCGCUAUAACCUAAAAGAGUGCUCCUAAUUUUCCAACACUUAUUUAAGCAUUUAGCAACUGCCAAAACUCUAUCUCGUUGGCUGCGGUGGCGGAGGAGGACGACAGUAAAGGCUCUUCGUCUAGAAUUUCAGUGGAUUGAGUGAAGAGAGAAGAAAAGAUGGUAAUUGAUUUUUCUUUUUUUUUUUUCUUUUCUGUUUGUAAUCGGGCCAAAUGGACUGGGUGUGGUGGGUUGAGUAGAGUAAUCUUUUAUUUUUGGUUGGAUUGGGCUUUAUAUUAGGCAUUAGUAGAUGUGUUUUUAAGUUUUAGUAUAAAUGGGACACUUACUCAAAAGUGUCCCAAACAUGUAUCCCUAUAACCUAAUUCUGUUGUAGUGGCACUGAAUGUUGAACUGUUGUCGUCUUUGUUACACUAGUUACAAAGAUUGUUGAACUGUUAUCCUCUUCUUUACUCUAUUACUC